GAAGAGGGCAUCCAGUGUAGCAGCAGCAGAAGGUACGCCUCAUCUCUUCUCGAGGAGUUGGAAAUUAGUGGUUGUCUAUCACUGACAUGUAUAUUUUCAAAAAACGAGUUACCUGCCACGCUUGAGUCCCUUGAAGUUGGCAAUCUACCUCCGUCUCUUAAGUCCCUUCGUGUUGGUGGAUGUUCAAAGCUGGAGUCAAUAGCAGAAAGGUUGGACAACAACACAUCUCUUGAAACAAUCGCAGUUAGUUUUUGUAGAAAUCUGAAAAUUUUACCGAGUGGUUUACAUAAUCUCCGCCAGCUUCAAGAGAUAGGGAUAUGGGAAUGUGAUCUGGUGUCCUUUCCCCAAGGGGGAUUGCCUUGUGCGAAACUCAUGAGGCUGGAGAUAUCUUAUUGUAAGAGACUACAGGUCUUACCCAAGGGAUUGCACAAUCUGACCUCUCUUCAACAAUUAAGAAUAGGAAAAGGAGUUGAGCUUCCAAGCCUUGAAGAAGAUGGCCUUCCCACCAACCUUCAUUCACUGGAGAUUAAUAGUAAUAAGGAGAUUUGGAAGUCAAUGAUUGAGCGGGGUCGGGGAUUUCACAGAUUCUCCUCUCUGCGACAACUUACAAUCAUUAAUUGUGAUGACGUGGUGUCAUUCCCACUAAAGGCAGAUGACAAAGGAUCGGGGACCACGCUUCCUCUUCCUGCCUCUCUAACAACUCUGUGGAUUUUCAAUUUUCCAAAUCUGGAACGCCUAUCUUCUUCAAUUGUUGAUCUUCAAUACCUCACUUCAUUGUAUCUCUUGGAAUGUCCCAAGCUCAAAUACUUUCCGGAGAAGGGCCUGCCUUCCUCACUUUUGCUAUUAAUUAUCUGGGAAUGUCCGUUGAUAGUAGAGAAGUGCAGAAAGGAUGGAGGACAAUAUUGGGACUUGUUAACCCAUAUACCGCGCGUUGAAAUAGAUGGUAAAUCCGUUUUUGGCGAUAACACAUAGGACGGCUGAAAUAUUUUAUUAUUAGUAUUUUCUUUUUUUUUUCUUUUUUUAAAUUGAGUGUGUUUGUGUAUGUAAUUUUAAAAUUCAAAUCUCAGUUGAAAACUAUUUUAAAUUAAUAUGGCUCGGUAUCGGUGAGUUUUUAUCAUGUAUAUGAUGAGCAUUCGAAUUUUUUUUUAUUAAAUAGUAGAAUGCUUUUUAAAAAAAUGGCAGAAUAGCGCAAUUGCAUUAUUUAGCAGAGACGGACCUUUUAAUGUAUUAAUUAAUUCAGCAUAGGAGGAGCUUGGGAAAAGUUGGUUUGAAAUUUUACCGACUGGACAUAGAAAUAUUCGAGUGUUCUUAAUUUAUUAGAAUAGAUUAGCAUUAUCCAUUGGUCUAUGUAUAAUCUAACCUGCGAAGUGUUAAUUUAGUGAUUAUUGAAUAUUAUAUUUGAAAGUUAUUUACAUUUUGUGUAUGUGUGUGUAUCUAUAUAGAUAUAUAUUUAUAUACAUCUAUCAUUUGAAAUUAAAAUCGGUCGUAUACAAGCCCAAUUUGAGGAGGAUUUGCUGAUUAAUUGGCUGGCAGAGCGUAGUAGUUGAUUAGUAUGUUGUUGUACUACAACGACGCUUACAAAUACCAAUUGAUCACUUAACUGCCUUCCUCACUUUUGCAAUUAUGGAUCUCGGAAUGUCCGUUGAUGAAAGAGAAGUGCAGAAAGGAUAGAGGACAAUAUGGGGACUUCUUAUGUCUGUAUAGAUUUUAAAUGGGUUUUUGAUGACUGAACAGAGGACGACUGAAAUAUUUUAUUUAAUUUUUUUUUUCAAUUGGGUGCGUUUGUGAAUGUAAUUUUCAAGUCCUAGUGGAAUUUUUUUUUUCAAUUGGGUGCGUUUGUGAAAUUGGGUGCGUUUGUGAAUGUAAUUUUCAAGUCCUAGUGGAAAAUUAUUUUAAAUUAAUGUGGUUCGGUGUAGGCGAGUUUUUAUCAUGUAAAUGGGUUUUCGAAUUUUUAUUAAAUAAUAGACUACGUUUUUUUAAAUAAAAGUGGUAGAAAGUAAUGAAUUAAUUUCUUAUUGAGUGUAAAUGUGUAAUUAAUUUCUUAUUGAAACUUCGUUUUUCUUUGACUUAUCCUUCUGCUGUGCCUGUACGGUUAAAUAGAUGUAACAUUUCUUUUCACCAGACUUUUUGCCUUCGGCAAAAUUUGUUUUUACAUCUUACAUGUUAGAUAUAUAAAUGGGGUUUUGAUGGCAGAACAGAGAAUGACUGAAGUAUUUUAUUAUUAGUAGUUUUUUUUAAAACAAAUCGGGUGUGUUUGUGUAUGUAAUUUUAAAUCUCAGUUGAAAACUAUUUUAAAUUAAUAUGGUUCGGUGUCGGUGAGUCUUUAUCAUGUAUAUAAUGGGUUUUCGAAUUAAACAAUAAAAUGCCUUUUUUUUCAAAGAAAAAAGUCAGUUUGCAUUAUUCAGCUGUUGGUUUUAUCUAUCCUUCUGCGGUACGAUUAUAUAUAUGUGCGUGCGCGUGUUUUUUUAUAUAUAUAUAUUCUAUUAUUUUAGUUGUUGGAUAUAUAUAUUCUCGAGUGCUCUUUCUUAUUAAAAUAGUAUGAUUCGACAUAAUUAAUAUAAUUGAAAAUCAAAUUCUUAUGACUGGAUUCACUAGAUCAUCAUUAUUUCGACCAUUUAUAAUCUGACUUGUGAAUUGUUAGUAUGGUGAUUAUUUUAAAUAUUUUAUAUUUCAAAGUCAUUUACAUUUUUUGUGUCUGUGCGUGUAUAUUUGAAAUUACUUUGAUCAUGUAGAGGAAUAAUUUGAGUAAAUUAAAUUUGAUUAAUUAAUAGUAAAUCGAGUAUGAUUUAUUAAAAUAUUUAUACUCUUUAAAUUAAUUCAUUAUAGGCGAGUCCUUGAAUUAAUUGUUUAUAUGCCACCGCUAUUAAUAUUUAUAAAUACAAUUUAUCAGUUAUUGAAUAUUUAGAUUCAUUAAAAUUGUUAUAAUUCAUAUAGAUCUUUCUAUUAACACAUCAAUAUGACAGAAGGAAUGUCUUCAUCAAUUGCAAUGUGAUUUUUUUUUUUUUAAAAUGCAUAAUAUAUGCCAUAGAAAAAAGCUUUUUCUUUUUAAUUUUUCAUUAAAAAUAAACCAAGAGUAUUAAUUUCUUUUACAAAAUUAGGAACCGGAUUUAUAAAAAGCACCUUAUUGUUGUUAAUACAUACAACCAUCCUCAAAAACCCAUCAAAAAACAAUAAACAGCACAUCUAAAGAGAAGCAUCAUACAACAAAACCAAGAAAACAUCACAACACAAAUGGCACAUCAAGCAAAGCAAGCACUUCUUUCUUUAAUCAAUUACAUUUGAGCCUUGGUGGCCUUACUAUCUUCACCGGAAGAAUUACCAGACUCUUCAUCAAUGUUAAUAACCUUGGGCUGCCUCUUCUUCUCCUCAGCAAGCUUUGGCACUGUGAUCCUCAGAACACCAUUUUCCAAAUGAGCCUUAAGAUGAUCAUUUGGAAAGUAAUGAAUUAAUUUCUUAUUAAAACUUCGUUUUUCUUGACUUAUCCUUCUGCUGCGCCUGUACGGUUAUAUACAUAUAACAUUUCUCUUCACCAGACUUUGCCUUCGGUAAAAUUUGUUUUGAAAUCUUACCUGUUAGAUAUAUAAAUGCUCGAGCGUUCUUUAUUAAAAUGGCAUUAUUUCGUCUGGGUAUAAUCUACCUUGUGAAUUGUUGUUUAGUGAUUAUUUCAAAUAUUUUAUAUACAAAAAUUAUUUACAUUUUGUGUGUGUGUCUGUGUGCAUAUAUGAUGAAAUUAAAAUUAUUUUGAUAGGGUGCGAGAGUAAUUUCAGGAUCAUUGGGAGGAUUUGCUCAUCAUACCUUAGGUAUGUGGCUUUUGAUGGCUGAAAUAUUUUAUUAGCAGUAUUCUUUUUUUUUUUUUAAAUCGGGUGUGUUUGUGUAUGUAAUUUUAAAAUUCAAAUCUCAGUUGAACAAUAUUUUAAAUUAAUAUGGUUCGAUGUCGGUGGUUAAUGGGUUUUGGAAACAAAAGGAAAAGCGGUGAGUAGAACAAUUGUUUAAUUUGAUUUAAUUGUUUCCGUGUCAUUGCUAUUAAUAUUUAUAAAUAGAAUUUAUCAGUUAUUGAAUAUUUAAAUUCAUCAAAACUGUUAUAAUUGCAAUGAAUCUUCGCAUUAACAAAUCAAUAUGAAAUAAGAGGGAAUAUCUUUAGAAAUUGGGGUAGUAUUUUUUUUUUUAGCUUAAAAUCCAUAAUAAGUUCUAGAGAAAAAGAUUUUUUUUUUAAUUUUUAUUAAUAAAAACCAAGCUCAUUAUUUCUUUUAGGGAGAUUGCCAAUUUCCCCCCUACAGUAAUCAACAUAUACCAUUUCCUCCUGCUGUUUUUAUAAUGGCCAAAAACCCCCCUAAUAGCAUAAGUUUGCAAAAAUGGCCAAAAAUUCCUCUGAUAGUAUAAGUUUACAAUAUUACCCUUAUUUUCAACUACUCUUUUAUUUACAUUUAUUAUAAAUUAAAUAAAUCACAUGAUAGAAAUUAAAUAAAAAAUUAAGCAUUAAAAAUAAGGAAAUAUAUGUUUUGAUAUGAGAAAAAAAUUAAUAAUAAAAAUUUUUUCUUGUACUUAUUUAUUUUGUGCAUAUUUUUCUUAUAAUAAAUAUAUAAGAAAGUUAUUAUAAAAUGAUAAAAAAAUUAUUAUAAGAAAAUUUGAAUGACAAAUAAAAAUUUAUUAUAAGAUAAAUAAUCAAAUAUUUUGCCUAUACUUUUUACAUUUAAUUUUAAAAUAUUACAAAAUGUUUAUUAUAAGAAAAUGUUCACAAAAUAAAUUAUUACAAAAAAAAUUAUUAUUAAUUUUUUUGCUCAUAUCAAAACAUAUAUUUCUUGUUUUUAAUACUUAAUUUUUUUAUUUAAUUUCUAUUCAUGUAAUUUAUUUAAUUUAUAAUAAAUGUAAAUAAAAAAGUAAUUAAAAAUAAGGGUAAUAUUGUAAACUUAUGUUGUCAGGGGAGUUUUAUGCCAUUAUAAAAACAGAAGGGGGACAAAUGAUAUAUAUUAAUUACUGUAGGGGGAAAGUGAGAAUCCCCUUUCUUUUACUACUGACUGUAGGACCAUGAUUUAUAAAACGCACUUUAUUGUUGUUAAUAUAAUAAACAAAACAUCCAAAGAGAAACAUCCCACAAGAAAAUCAAGAAAAGAUCAUAAGCAAACAGUACAUCAAGCAAAGCAAACAUUUUUUUUAUUUGAUUAAUUACAACUAAGCUUUGGUAGUCGCUUCGUCAAACUUUGGCAAAUAUUGUUUUAAAAUUUUACAUGUUGGAUAUAUAAAUGUUCGAGUGGCCUUUAUUAAAAUAGCAUAAAUUAACAUAAUAAUAUAAAUGAAAAUUAGAUUUGCUAAAUUAUCAUUAUUUCGUCAAUGUACAAUCUCUCUCUCUAUAUAUAUAGACACACACAUAAAUACGAUGAAAUUGAAAUUAUUUUAAUCGUGUACAAGAGCAAUCUCAUUAAUUUGCUGGUAGAGCUUGGUCCGUUGGCGUUCUUUCUAUAAUUGUAUAGGUCCGCUUUAUAAUAACAAUGAUGUUAACAAAUACCAAAGCAAAUUAAAUUUGAUUAAUUAAUAGUAAACCGACCAUGAUUUACUAAAAGCACUUUACUACACGAUCUUUGUAUGUGUACACCAUCAUCAAAAAAUAGAAAAUCAAAGGAGAAAACAAUAUCCCGCGAGAAAGCCAAUUAAUUAAAAAUUCAAAACUGUACCCAAAAGAAAAUAGAAGAUGACAAGCAGCUCUAACUAACGCGGGGGAUGCAUGCAUAUUAAUAUUUCAAAACAGAACUAUCUUACAUCAUUUAGUGAUUAGUGAUGCAGAUGUUUGAUAGAAUGAAUCAGGUUUCUGCUGAAAUGUCUCAAGGAAGGACCCUCAAGUAUUCAUCAUCUCAGCAAGUGACUCAGCACAUGAGAAUGAGAUGAACUUUCAAGAAUCACCACGAUAAAAUAAGAUCAAGGAUGCUACGAGGACAAACAAAGAUGGCGGCUGUAGCUUUUGAUGGUACGCAUGUUACAGCGCUAUAUUAAACAAAUGUAAACUGUCAGAUAAAAGUUUUGUAUAUAUAGAUUCAAAAUGAAUGAAACAUUGCUGUGAUGUGCGUGCAUUAUUCUGUCAUUUUGUUUUCAUUACAUCUUAUUGAUUCUUGAUCGAUUGAACUCAAUCUAAAACCACCAAGAUCUGGUUGAUCUCUCUAAUUGGUGAUAUAGAAAUGAUAAACAAAUCACACACCUCACAAGAAUAAGAAGGCACAAUUUAAGUGGCACAUUUUGGAGAUAGCAUAUAUCCGCUGAAGGACGGAGUAAUAAUCUUAUUUCAAUCACCAAGAACAAGCUACAAACAUUAAGAAGUUAGGAGCUUUUCAUAUGGCCCAACUAUAGCCUCUAAGACCAUAUAUACAGAUGAUGAAGAAUCUAGAAACGUCCCCCACUCACCAGCUGCCUUCUGGGUUUGUUGAAACAAACCCAGAAUUUUCCCACCUUAUAACGGUCAGUUAACAACCUUGAAUCACGUGCUUAACUCGUGCUUCACUAAGUGACCAAAACAACUGCCAAUUCCGUCUAAAGUAUGUCAAAUCACAUGAAGAACAUGUGAUUCACUUACUGGAAGUAAAAGACAAUACACAGAUGUCACAUUCUCCUGUUUCAUCCAGAAACUGACAGGGCAUGCACAAUUAAGGAUACAAACCGACAUGUCAGAAAAUUCUAAAACUCAUUUUUAAGCUCACAAUUCAACACAUCUCUUUUAAGAUCCUUUUGAAUAAUUUUCAGUUUUCUGACAAAUGCAACAUAAUAUGGUCAUGUCCUACUUAAUAACACAAAGCAUAAAUGCAGCUCUUAUAUUUUUCAUAAGCCAAAGUUGUUGAACAUAUAAAUACUCAUGUAUUCAGUGUUCUUUAUUAAAUUAGCAUGAUUGAACAUAAUUAAAAUGAAAAUCGGAUAAUUAUGAUGAUUGUAUUAGUUAGCCAGAUUGGUGUCAUUUUGUCUAAUUAUCAAGGAGAACAUUCAAUUAUAUAUAAUAUUUCCUUUGCAUUUUCUCUUUUAAUUAAAAUCAUAAAAAGACUUGCAAUAUAGACCAUGUAUCUAUUAUGGUCUUAAUCUGAAUCAACCUGGAAAGAAGAAUUUGGCUUCCGUAAAUAAGAAUUUCUUAAAACAAAAAAGCUAACAGAUAACCAAUCAGAAUGAACCUUGAAACCCGUCUUAUGGCUUAAAUCAGACAAAAUAGAAAUCUCCUCUUGCAAUAGCAUAUUUGAGUCAAGUAGCCGCAAUAAUGAAAAGCAAUCACCGAAUGUGAAGGAAGAACAUUUCCGGCUGGGAGGCUGGAGAGCUCACAGUCAUCGGAUAUAUCCAAGAGAAGACGAGAUCCAACUUCUCUUGUUAGUAUUAUUAAUUAAUUAGUAUAAAUUAGCUGAAUGUUCAAUGCUCAUGCACUUUUGGGUGAAUUUGUGUGAUUGUUGUGGCGUAAUAUGACACUAUUCAAUCAAGCCACUCUGCUUUUCAGUGAUAGACACAAAUGAGAUUAGUGCAAAUGAUAUAAUUGAAAUACCAAGAUUAUAUUCCCAUCAUAAUUAACAACUAAUUUUCAGUUUCUUGUGUCAAUUUCUUAUUCAAUAUAUAUAAUGUUAAUUUUACUGUAUUUUGCACCUUUGUGAUAUUUUAUUAAACCAACAACAACGCAAGAAAAUUUGACAAAAGUACUGCCAAGAUUCUCAUCAUCUGAAUUUUAGAUACCAAACAUCAUAUGUAAAUCAACAAUCCCAAACUAACUAAAAGGAUACCCAUUAGAUAGAAAUUCACAAAAACCGAUUAUAUCUUCUCCUCAGCAGCUGAAUCCUUCUAAGUGCUCAACGAUGACACAAUGCACAAUUCGAUGGGUGGUUGCAUGAUCGGGAAGUCUUGCUUUGUACUUUUUUCAUCAGUCUUUGUCAAAGAUCGUUUUGUAAUUAAUUUCAUAAGCUGAGUGUAUAUAAAUGCUAGAGUGUUCUUCAUUUAAAUAGCAUGAUUGAAUACAAUUAAUAUAAUGGAAAUCAAAUUAUAAUCAUCGAAUUUUUUAGAUUAGCAUUAUUUCAUCUUUGUAUAAUCUAACUUGAGACAAUCAAUAUUUAUACUGAUUUCGUCCCUUUGAUCGUGACUUUGAUGGUUACUUUUAAAAAUUCUCUUCACCUACCGAUUUCAUUUAACAAAAAUUUUACAUACAAUACAACUUUACAAAGAAUUAAAUAAAACCAAACGAAAUAUCAAGGCUGUUCACGAAUUGCCUUCCUAUGGUUCCACAGCCAAGCAAGUCCUUAUAUACAACUAAAAGUCAAUUUGAUUCUUUGACUAAUAAGAACUGCCAGUUUGAACUAAGGGCCAGUGAGCUUAGGAUUAUUGCUAAAACAUGAGUUCUAUGUUCUAUCAUGCAUUUUCUAUACUAUGAAUUGUUUGAGCUUAUAAACUAAGACAUCAAAACAAAGAUUCUGUUCUAGCUACUGUUUUUCACUUUAGAUUUAGGAUUGAUGUUCAGCUUUAUCUUUUAGGGCCUGUGACAUCCCAAUACACACACACACAUAUUGUAUAUGACCAAGCUACUUAGUGGGGAUGGCCAUAAAAUAGACGUAAAAAUGGAUGGCCAUCUGAUUCCCCAUGAGUACAGAAAAAUUAAAUAUGAAACUCCAAUACCGUCAAUUCUGCGUUUUAAUUUUAAGUUGACGUAUAAUGAAACGACAGGCUCAUGUGAUUUAAUUUUGUAUAUUCAAAACUAUUAAUGGCGGUGAGGCCUGGUUUUAUUUACACUUUGGUGGAAUAAAGUGAAGCUUGCUAAAUUACUGGUGAUUGGAUUUUUUUUUUAUUUUUUUUUUGCACUUUAGAGUGAUUUCAAUUGUGUCUAUUUGUUAGACAACAUAUUACAUGAAUAAAGUAAAAUAUUUCUAAAAAGAAACGUUUUUGGAGUUUAAAAAGAAAGAGUGAGAGAGAAACGUUUUGAUUUAACUUGGUAUUUGAGAUGAAGAUCUGUAAAGUGAAGGUUCUAGGUAAUAGACACUGGAUUAACUGCUUGACAUACGAAUACCUAAUGGAAUUUCGUAACAAGUGGUGGUGAUUGAUUGGUGAAUUGCUAAAUUAUUAAUGGGUGGUGGGCUCUGUUUUUCUUUUCUUAGCUGCAAGGAACAACAAGUGGGGAGACUUGCCUCAUUUUACGUCGUAUCUUGCUUGACCCUUGACACUUACUAAGCAUUUUCGUUUGGGUAAUUUUUUAAAACCUCUCCUGAGGUUUGGGCUUAUUGUAAGUAGAUGGCGAGAAUCUAUUUAUUUGUAAAAAAACCCCUACCGUUAGUUAUUUUUAACAUUAACCGUUAAUUGACUGUGCAAAGACAAUAUUACCCUUAACAACAGUUUGUAGACGGAAUUAACAAAAAAAAAAAACUAAAAUUGUUGGCUAUUUUACCCUCUUUAAAUUAUUGAUAUUUUCUUAAAGUUCCUACAAGAAAGAUAAAAUUAAAAACUUAAAAAAUCCUCUUUAAAUUAUUGAUAUUUCCUUAAAGUUCCUACAAGAAAGAUAAAAUUAAAAACUUAAAAAAUCCUCUUUAAAUUAUUGAUAUUUCCUUAAAGUUCCUACAAGAAAGAUAAAAUUAAAAACUUAAAAAAUCCUCUUUAAAUUAUUGAUAUUUCCUUAAAGUUCCUACAAGAAAGAUAAAAUUAAAAACUUGAAAAUAAAAUAGUCAUAAUCUUUACCUGUGAUAUUGUAAAUUUUUGGAAGGGUAAUUUUCAAAAACCUCCCCUGAGGUUUGGGCUUGUUGUAAGUAGAUGGCGACAAUCUGUUUCGUUUUGCUUACCAAGUGCUGGUGAUGGGUUAAUUGCCAAAUUAUUAGUCAUUGGUCACUGAAGUAUCAGCGCGUGAUUUCUACUAAGCUUGCUGGACCAGACCCGUCACAGUCGCAAAUUCAUUCUGCUUAAUUAUCCAUUUUCUCAUCUGUUCAAUUUUCUCAUUCUGCUUUCCAAAACUCAUAAUUCUGUUCCUUUCUUUCUUUGCCCCCAAAAAAAUUAAAAAAAAAAUAAAAUAAAUGUCAGGUUAAUUUUUCUUUUCAAAGAUUUCAGGUAAAAAAGAUUCUUAAAAUUAAUUUUCGAUGGUGGUUGUUGUUACUUUCAUUUUGUGCUGGAUGCGCCUAUAAAGAAGCCAACCGAUAUUGCCAAUUUGUGUAUUUGAUGACAUUCAACAAGCUUUUACUGCCUCUUCAGCAAUGUCAAUAACCGAAACAAAGUUAAAUCAAACUUUGAAUUAAAAUCUUUAAUAUAUAUAUAUAUAUAUAUAUAUAUAUAUCUUUUUUUUGUACAUUGAUUGAACUUCAUUCUUCAUUGAAAAUUAUGACAUGUUAAUUUAAUGAAUUAAUCACCACAAUUAGUAAAUAUUAAUACUUCAAGUUAACUUAAUGAAUAAGUCUUACAAAUACAUCUUACAUAAAUUAUAAAUACUAAGCGUAACUUCUCCUUAAUACCGCCCAAUAAUCUGAUGCUAGUGAUCUUUUUAUAAAUCAUUACUGAUAUAUUUAAUUAUUUACAAUUAAAGUAUUAUUGGGACCAAUUUACCAAAAAAAAAAAAUACAAUCAAAGAAUUACAACUUUUCUAUUUAUUUCACUGUUACUUAAUUCCAUAAAAUGGUUCAAAAUAAUUCCAAAACUCAUAAUUAUGUUCCUUUCUUCCCCCCCCCCCCCCCCNNNNNNNNNNNNNNNNNNNNNNNNNNNNNNNNNNNNNNNNNNNNNNNNNNNNNNNNNNNNNNNNNNNNNNNNNNNNNNNNNNNNNNNNNNNNNNNNNNNNNNNNNNNNNNNNNNNNNNNNNNNNNNNNNNNNNNNNNNNNNNNNNNNNNNNNNNNNNNNNNNNNNNNNNNNNNNNNNNNNNNNNNNNNNNNCUGCUGUACGGCCAAGGCGGAUGUACGGUACAGCAGCCUGUUAAUCAUUACUCCGAUCCCGAAGGCCAACAGAAUAGGACCGAAAUCCUAUGAUGUUAUCCCAUGCUAAUGUAUACAGAGCGUAGUGUUACGGUCCGCCCAAUUCGCUAGCCCAAUUGCCCAUAAUUUCGGGCUAGAGAGCCAACACAAGGCCAAGAGUGCUAGCUUGGCCCAAUUCCGGAACAUUCUAGGCAACUCUAGCACAUGAGCUUGUAAAUACUCUAGAAUUCUCCAUAGAAUUCCAGCACAUGUAAAUAGCUAGGAAAUGGUAGAAUUCUCUAGAAUCUCUAGAACUUGGCAAGCCUCCCCUAUAAAUAUGGGAUGGCAUUAGGCAUUUGUAUCCAACAAACACAACAACAAGCUUUGUAAGCAACUCAAGCAUUGUAAUCUCUCUUUGUGCAAUACAAGUUUUCUCAUUCGGCUCCAUUGCUCUCUUCUCUAGUUCGAGAAGCUAUAGGCUUACUUAGCAACAUUCGGCAAAGUUGUCUAAGUGCCGCACGGGUUAGCUGCGCAAGAUACUCAUCCCGUGACAACUAGCUUAUUAAACAGAGGUUGAGAGCAGCUCUAACGAAUGCAGGGGAUGCAUGCAUAUUAAUAUUUCUCAUCAAAUCAUCACCCAUUGUGCUUUGAGACUAAGAAAAUCUAUGGUGAUUGAUUUUUCAAAACAGAACUAUCUUACAUCAUUUAAUGAUUAGUGAUGCAAAUGUUUGAUAGAAUGAAUCAAGGGACUCAACACGAGAGAAUGAGAAGAGCUCUCAAGAACCACCAGGAUAACAUAAGAUCAAGGAUGCCACGAGGACAAUCAAAGAUGGCUACUGUAGCUUUUGCAGUACAUCUGUUAUAGCCGUUAGAUGAAACAAACAUAAACCAUCUGAUACAAGUUUUGUAUAUAUAGAUUCAAAAUGAAUGAAACAUUGCUAUGGUGUGCGUGCAUUAGUCUCUUAUAUUGUUUUCAUUGCAUCUUGUUGAUUCUUGAGCGAUUAAACUCAUUCUAAAACCAGCAAGAUCUCACUAAACUCUCUAAUUGAUGAUUUACAAAUGACAAGCAAAUCACACACCUCACAAGAAUAACAACUGAAACAAGCAAAACAGAGGCACAAUUUAAGUGGUUCCGCUUGGAGAUAGCCGAUAUCAAGUGAAGAACAGGGCAGCAAUCUUAUCUCCAUCACCGAGAUCAAACUACAAGCAUUAAGAAGAAGUUACAAGCUUUUCAUAUGUCUCAACUGUAGCCUCUAAGACUAUAUAUACAGAUCAUGAAGAAUCUAGAAAGUUCCCCCCACUCACAAGCUGCAACAAACCCAGAAUUUUCCCGCCUUGUAAAGGUCAAUGAACAACCUUGAAUGACGUUCUUAAUUGGUGCUUCAAUAAGUGACAAAAACGACUGCCAAAUGUGCCGUAUAGGGUAAAUGAAAUCACGUGAAGAACAUGUGAUCCAGACGACAAUACACAGCUGUCAUAUUCUUGUGUUCUGUCCAAUAACUGACAGCGCAUGCACAAUCAGGGCUAUCAACCGACACGUCAGCAAUGUCUAAAACUCGCGAUUCAACACCUGUUUUCAGAUUUUUUUUCAAUAAUUUUCAGUUUUCUGACAAAUGCAAAGUAUGAAAGUAAUAUGAUCAUGUCCUGCUUAAUAACACAAAGCAUAAAUGCAGCUCUAAUACUUUUCUAACUUAGCCAAAGUUGUUGAAGAUAUAAGUACUUUUAAGUGCUCAGUAAUCUUUAUUAAAUUAGCAUGAUUGGACAUAAUUAAAAAAUGAAAAUUGAAUCAUUAUGAUGAUUGAAUUAGGUAGUUUGAUUGGUGUUAUUUUGUCUAAUUAUCAAGGAGAACAUUCAAUUAUAUACAAUAUGUCCUUCCUAUUUUCUCUUUUAAUUAAAUCAUAAAAAGACUUGCAAUAUUGAUUAUGUAUCUGUUAUGUUGGUUAUUGAAGUGAAUUAUAGUUGUUUUCGUGAUUGUCAAAUAUUGUCUUUGUAACUUAUUUAUUUUUUAUUUAUGAAAUCAAUGGGGAUUUUGCUCUUAUUGAUGGAUGUUGCUGGGUACUAAGAACUGAUGGUCGUAUUAAUUAAUCAGUAUAAGUUAGUUGAAAGUUCAAUGUUCAUGCACUUUUGAGCUACAUAAGGCAAGGAAAAUUGAGUGACUUUAUGUGAUGUAAUGUGACACUAUUCAAUUAAGCAACUCUACUUUUUAGUGAUGGACACAAAUGAAACUAGUGGACUUGCAUUAGCUAGAUGAUAAUUAAAAGGCCAAGAUUAUAUCUUUAACACCCCAGUCCGAAAUCCAAGGGCAAAUAUGUCCACAACUCACAUAUGAUUUAAAUAACUCUUUACAAACAAUAAAAUCCGAGCUUCAAAUACAAAAGCCAGCGGAAUAACUUAAAAAUUUAGCCAAACCAUCUACCAUCUUUAACUUGUCACUCAUCACGAAUCAAUCCUGGCUUCUGGAAACUGAAUCACAAUAAACUAUAAUGAGUACAAAACUCAGUAAGCAAACUAGUUUUUCUUAUAGAAAAUACAUACAUACUUAUACAUAAUGCAAUGGAUGAUAUGCCAUGAUCUUUUGGAAAUACUGUAAAAUAAAUUCAAAAAAAUCUCUUUCUGUCACUUUCAAACUUUCUCAUUUUCUUUCGAUGAAAUAUGUAUCCUGCAAUGUGGCACUUUGUGCUGUGCGUGGCACUUUGCACCAUGCGUGGCACUUUGCGGCGCUCUGGCCCUCAAGAGGUGGCCCCCGCAUAGUCUCAAGAGGUGGCCCCCACACAACUUCAAGAGGUGGCCCCCAAUGCAAAAUCUCAUAAAACAGAAAUUCCGUUUGCUAAAAUCCACUUUCUCAUUCAUAGAAAACUCAAUGCAUUUUCGUGCUCAUGCCAAUGAACCAUCACACAUACAUAUGCCCAUGUACAUAAUCACGCCCAUUACAUAACAACACAUCACAUAAACACAUGAGCAGAGACAUAUAAAUCCAUAUUCGUACAUAUCAAAAUAGGACAUCCGCCUUGGCCGUACAGCAGAGCUCUCACCAAGAAACACCUCUUUUCUGACAAAUGCAACGUAAUAUGAUCACGUCCUGCUUAAUAACACAAAGCAUAGAGGCUGCUCUAAUACUUUUCUAACUUAGCCAAAGUUGUUGAAGAUAUAAGUACUUUUAAGUGCUCAGUAAUCUUUAUUAAAUUAGCAUGAUUGGACAUAAUUAAAAAAUGAAAAUUGAAUCAUUAUGAUGAUUGAAUUAGGUAGUUUGAUUGGUGUUAUUUUGUCUAAUUAUCAAGGAGAACAUUCAAUUAUAUACAAUAUGUCCUUCCUAUUUUCUCUUUUAAUUAAAUCAUAAAAAGACUUGCAAUAUUGAUUAUGUAUCUGUUAUGUUGGUUAUUGAAGUGAAUUAUAGUUGUUUUCGUGAUUGUCAAAUAUUGUCUUUGUAACUUAUUUAUUUUUUAUUUAUGAAAUCAAUGGGGAUUUUGCUCUUAUUGAUGGAUGUUGCUGGGUACUAAGAACUGAUGGUCGUAUUAAUUAAUCAGUAUAAGUUAGUUGAAAGUUCAAUGUUCAUGCACUUUUGAGCUACAUAAGGCAAGGAAAAUUGAGUGACUUUAUGUGAUGUAAUGUGACACUAUUCAAUUAAGCAACUCUACUUUUUAGUGAUGGACACAAAUGAAACUAGUGGACUUGCAUUAGCUAGAUGAUAAUUAAAAGGCCAAGAUUAUAUCUUUAACACCCCAGUCCGAAAUCCAAGGGCAAAUAUGUCCACAACUCACAUAUGAUUUAAAUAACUCUUUACAAACAAUAAAAUCCGAGCUUCAAAUACAAAAGCCAGCGGAAUAACUUAAAAAUUUAGCCAAACCAUCUACCAUCUUUAACUUGUCACUCAUCACGAAUCAAUCCUGGAUCUACUAUCCUCAAUUUAAAUCCAUCUUCUCACUCAUCGCGAAUCAAUCCUGACUUCUGGAAACUGAAUCACAAUAAACUAUAACGAGUACAAAACCCAGUAAGCAAACUAGUUUUUUUUAUACCAAAAUACAUCCAUACUUAUACAUAAUGCAAUGGAUGAUAUGCCAUGAUCUUUUGGAAAUAUUGUAAAAUAAAUUCAUAAAAAUCUAUUUCUGUCGCUUUCAAACUUUCUCAUUUUCUUUCGAUGAAAUACAUAUCCUGCAAUGUGGCACUUUGUGCUGUACGUGGUACUAUGCACCAUGCGUGGCACUUUGCUGCGCUCUGGCCCUCAAGAGGUGGCCCCCGCAUAGUCUCAAGAGGUGGCCCCCACACAACUUCAAGAGGUGGCCCCCAAUGCAAAAUCUCAUAAAACAGAAAUUCCGUUUGCUAAAAUCCACUUUCUCAUUCAUAGAAAACUCAAUGCAUUUUCGUGCUCAUGCCAAUGAACCAUCACACAUACAUAUGCCCAUGUACAUAAUCACGCCCAUUACAUAACAACACAUCACAUAAACACAUGAGCAGAGACAUAUAAAUCCAUAUUCGUACAUAUCAAAAUAGGCUUUUCAUACAAGUCAGACAUAUAUAUUAUUUAUUGUGAUUCGUUUUAAAGUCUAGUUCACUUACCUCUUGGCAUCCUCAUGUAACAAGUGCGUACUGAUACCAUCAACCUAAAAUCAUCAAUAAAUUCUCAUAAGAUAUAAUCAAAUCUCAAUCAUAAACUCUAAUGUCCUCAAAUAUCUCAAUUUAAACAACUCUUAAGCUCAACCUCAAAUGUCCUCAAUAAUCGGUCCUCAAAACAUAACAGUCCAUACUUCUCCGAUUUUUAAUAAAUUAUUCUCUUAUUGGAAGAAUCUCAAAUUUUACAGACCAUAUGCUGACACAUUGAAAGUUCAUUGCUAAAAAUUUCAUAACAUAAUUCCUUCCAAAACGAUUGAAAAUAAUUCACGGUUCAGACAUCAUCAAUACUGUCAAACAGUUUUCUGUUUUGAACACACUUGCUUUAAAAAUACAAAAAAAUUUAUUUAUUUAUCAUAAAAUCAUGAAAAUUUCCAGAAUCAUACUAGACAUAUAUAAAAAUCAUUGGUCCAAAUUUCAUAAUUUUUGAAGAAGUCUAGAUAUGGUAGAAAUAAUUUCGUAAUUCACGUUAUUCACUGAAAUCAUAAAUUUCCAGGUUUUCAGACUUGAAUUUGAAAAAUCAUAAUUAAUUGAAAUCUUAUCCGAUUAACUUGAAACAAGUUUCAAAACAUUCUAGACGAUGUCUAUUUUAACAUAUCCAAAAAUCACAAUCAAAAUCAAUUUAUACAAAGUAAUAUGAUUUUCGUAAUAAUUCACUGUCAGCAUAUUUCUGUAAAAUCGUAGGUUUCUACUUCUAUUGCAAUCAUGCUUCUCCACAACAAUUUAAUGAAAACCAAGAUUAAAACUUACCUCCAAAACUUCUCCCAACAAUAACAAUUUGAUCUCAUGUGUUGCCUAUGGCAGAACUAAGAAGAAGAAGAAGAAGACUUUCUUCUUCUCUUUUUCUUUUCUUUUUCUCUCUCUCUCUCUCUUUUUCAACCGAUCCCUCUUUUCCUCUUUCUCUUAUAAUGAAAAAGACAUCUUGUUCUAUUUAUACUAGGGUAAAAAUGAUCACUAAAAAUUAAAAAGACUUAAAUACCCUUAGGAGAUUUGGGGUAUUACAAUAUCCCCAUCAUAAAUAACAACUAACAAUCCAACAUGAUCCAGCAUCAAUUAAUUUUCAGUUUCUUGUAUUAUCUUCUUUUUCAAUACAUAAAAUGGCAACUUCAGGAGCUUAACGCUAAUUUCACUGUUUUGGGUACCUUUUUUAUAUUUCAUUAAACCAAAGAAGUGGGAGUUCAAUUAAAGGAGAUUUUGAAUGAUUUAUUUAAUUAUAAAUUGUUCGUAUUAUGUUUAAGUGAAAAACAGGGGAACUCCUUCAGUUGGCCUGACUUCCCAAUUGAAGUCAACUCUCUGCAUUAUAGUAAAAAGACAGAGGCUGCUCUGCCUUCCCAACCUAGUUCAUCUCUUGAGGAAUUUCGCUUGAUAGAUUAUUUUAAAUUAUUUAAAUUAUUUUUAGUCAAACUCAAGACAACAGACUUCUUUCAUGUCAUCACUACUAAUAUUUUUAUUUCUUAACACAAUUUAUCAGUUAUUGUUAUGAUGAGUAUAUAUCUUCUACACACGUAUCACAUUUUAUAUUUGUUUUUCUGCUGUUGUUUAUUUGUGUAGAACCUCCUUUGGUGGAGAAGUGAAAAAUUAAAGCCAAAGAAAUUAGAACCAUAGAAUCUGUGUGUACAAAUUUGUUAAUAUAUGCUUUUAAAUAAUGAAUUAUUCUUUAUGUUGAGGAAGAACGUUUUAUUAUGGUUUAAGGUUUAUAUGGGUGCGUGCGCACUAUGGUUAGAUGAGUUUCAAAAGUAUUAUUAUUCUGUUUACUUAUAUUGAAUUGUCCAUACUAAUAACUUGAACUGUGAGAUUUUUUGUAAUAAAAAUAUGCAUGUUCGAAAUAAAUUCUAGAGCGUGAAUCAUCUCACACUUAUUAAAAAUUAUAUAACUUUAAUUUUUUAUUUGAGAAAUUAUCAAGCGCACUCGUUCAACUUUCUGACUUUCUAUAUCUAUUUCUAUUCACUUCCUUUAAUAGCAAUAAGCCAAUGACUAUUAGGUGUAUCAUAAAAUUGAAUGCUUAUGUUAAAAUAUCUUUAUUCAAAAUGUUCCUGUAUAUGAAUCAUCUCUUAGUUUAGAUUUGAAUUCGAUUUAUCACAUCACAAUGUACCGCGUCUAUAAUCUUAUUUGCAAGUUCUUCGUGACUUCAUGACGAAAAUUACAAAAAUGUAUUAAGCAAUUAGCAAGUUGUUACAAAUGAAACCAAUAUCUUGAUGGGUUCAUUAAUUAAUAACAAUUUUUGCUAAUAACAACACCAAAAAAAAAAAAAUUUAUUCGAGGUGUACUCUAUCUGGUAUAUGACAUGAAUUUACGAAAAUGUACAUAGAAAUUUGAGAAUGUUGGAUAAUUGAGAGCUCGAAGACAGUACGCAAUUCACUUUCCCCUGUUUAUUGGCUCUCCUUAGGUUGUGUCUUCAUUAUUUGUCUAUUCUUCCAAAUGUUUUCUGAAAAAAAAAAAAAAUCAAACCAAUUGAAUCAUGACUAUUAUUGUGAUAUUAAAAUUUUUAAAAAAUAUUAUUUCAAAUUCAAAUAGUAUAUUUUGAAACAAACAUAUUAUUAUAUAAAUUAAUAAUUAAUAUGUUCUCAGCAUUGUUUGCUUCUUUUUUAAAUUAAUUUCAAUUUGGAUCUUAUCUUUGACUUUUGGAAUGCGAAAAGAUCUGCAGUAAAGAAAUUAUUCAGUGUCAAUAACACCUACUUCUUUUUUAAACUAUUUGUAUAGGAGAAUUAUCAUCUUUAGUAUGAAAAAAUAAAACCGUACAAUAAUCUUAUUACUGUUAAUAUAAAGCAGCUAACUAUUAAAUAAUCUUCUUAAAAUAAAUUAAUAUUCAAAUAAAACAUAAUAGAUACCAACUCAAGAUAAAUCAAUUCUAAAAACGUGAUCAUAUUUUUCCAUAAUAAUGAAUAUUUUCAUAAAUCAUUAGUUUAUUAAUUUGCUUAAUAAUUGAUAUUCGUUAAAUUCAAUAAAUUUUUUUAUGGUGCAAAAGCCUGUAAAUUUAUUGAGAUUUUAUUAUAUUUGUUACAGGAAACAAUACAAUUUAUAACAAUAUACUGUUGCAGUGGGACUAACAAAAUGUCUAGCAAUUCUCUUUUUAUAGAUAACAACCAUUUGAUUUGGAUGACAUUAACCAUGAAAAUGUUAAUAACACAUUAUUUAAAAAAAAAAAAAGCAGUUUUUCUAAUGAUUAAUCAAAGGAAAAUUCAAAGAAGAAAAAUAAAGGAAAAGAGCCAUAGGUGCUCCUGUUGGGAAUGACCAUUUGCAAUUUUUGCUAUCCUGCCACAGUUUGCUUAAGUCUAAUAUUUGAAUGAAUGUAUUUGUAAAUCCAUAUACUAGUCUGGUAAGGUGGUGGAUACUUAUUUUAUGUUCAUAAUUACAUUUGUCCACAAUUGAAAGAAAAAAAAAAUACAUGCUCCAGAUUUGCUGUCGAUAUUUCCAGAACUAGUCAAGCGUUGCAGAGAAGAAAGCAAAAAAUCACAAAACCAAUUAGAUGCAAUGGGUUCAGACGGUAGCCAAAAACACCACUUCGUUAUUCAUUUACAAAUCCCAACCGUUAGAUCAACGUAAUUAAAAUCUAACGGCUGAGCAGAAUAACGACAAAAAAGAGGGGUAUGGAGCUGGAUCCCGGAGUAAAGAAGAAGAAAAAUUAACUACUGUAUAUGAAUUUUUUUUUUAAGAACAAUACAUUUUGUGACAAUUUAAAUAUUAUUUUUGUUAAAAAGUUAGAUUGUGCAUCAACAUAAAAUAAGGUUGAAAUUAAUGAGUACUAAUAUGAAAGAAGUGAUAAAGUUAGUUUGUACAUACACAAUUAAAAUUUCGUAUGCGUUAUUUCGAGAGCGUCAGUGUAAUUCUUGACGUUAUUAUUAUCGAUCUUGUAUCUUGGUAGUAUUGUGUUGAUGGCCUGGCAGUAUUUGGAUGCUGAGUUGCUUACUUCGAAUGCCAGAGCUAAGUUAUAGUUCACGAAUUGCCAUCGUAUGGUUCAAUAGCCAAGCAAGUCUUCAAUUAUUUGUUGAUUUGAUGAGCUACUUAUAUGCAACUAUAAGUCAAUUUGAUUCUUUGACUAAUAAGAACUGCCAUUCUGAACUAAAGGCCGGUGAGCUGAGGAUUAUUGCUAAAAUAUGAGUUCUAUCAUGCAUUUUCUAUACUAUGAAUUGUUUGAGCUUAUAAACAAAGACAUCAAAACAUAGAUUUGGAAUUGAUGUUCAGCUUUAUCUUUUAGGGCCUGUGCCAUCCCAAUACCCACACACAAUAUAUAUAUAUAUAUGUGUGACCAAGCUACUUAGUGGGGAUGGCCAUAAAAUAGACGUAAAAGUGGAAGGCCACAAUUCCCCAUGAAUACAGCAAAAUUAAAUAAGGAAUUCCAAUACCAUCAAUUCUGCUUUUUAAUUUCAGGUUGGAAACUAGUGAAACUAGAGGCUCAGGUGAUUUAAUUCAGUAUAUAUUUAAUAAAGUAAAAAUAGAACCAGCAUGGUAGCUAGACACAGUUUAACUGGUGCUAUGAAAGCAGCAGUUUGUUUCUGCAGUUUUCUAAGUUUGAGUAAUAUUAAAAUUCAAAGUUAGUAUUCAAUGGGUAAGGUUUCUUAUCCCUAAAAUUCUGUUAAAAAAAAAAAACCAAAAACCAAUCCCACAGAAAGGAAUACAAAUUGCAGGACCAUUCAAAAGAUCCUAGAGCAAGAGGAAAUUUUGUAAUCAGCUUGGAGCAGUUUGCAAGGCAACUUCAAUAACAAAAAGAAAAUAAAAUAAAAGAAAGCACAACAGGCGGUAACAACGAAAUUAGCUUUUGUUCUUUGUUAAAGUGGAAUUUAUUUGAUAAUUAGACUCGUGCUUAUAUAAUAGAUAACAUGCUACAGUAGUAAUAGGAGACAGUGCUUCUUUUUUGUCUACAAAAAAAUCGCAACAUUCAUUUUUGAAAGAAAUAAAAAAUAUAUGUAUAAUGGUAAAUAUUUGCUCUGUUUUACUCUAUUUAUUUGCUCCGCAUUUUAACAUUUUAGCGAUUACUUUGUCAAAAUCGGAAGUUUGUAUUUCCUUCAAUUGCGUUGCAUUCAAUUACUUGAGCCUUCACAAACUAAAUCAAGCCAAAGUUGUUCCCUAAGCAAAUCUCUUCUAAAAAAUUUUCUAUUUUUCUAUUGAACUCUUUUACUAUACAAAUUCAUAAUUUCGUAAUUUGAAACUAAAUUUAUAUUAUAUGUAUUUAUAAAUUUUCCAGAUUAUGUUCUUAUUAUCGUUCUUGUAAUUGAUUUUGACAUAUCUCAUGUCUAAUAUUGUUUGUAUACAUAAUCAAAUCAUUUUUCAACAUUCUCUAAAGUCUUAGAUCAUAAUUAAUUCAACUUCUAUUUAAUAUAUAGUUACAAAAUGGUUAGUGAAGUGAUAAAAUAAACUCAAAGCAUUGCAUAUAUAUCUCUUUUAAUUGUCAAACUAUUUUCUUGCAAACAAUGCUAAAUUUUUAUAGCAUCAUUUUAUUGCCAAAUAUUUUUCAGUAACUAAAUAUUUCAUUAUUACAUGAUCAAUAUUUGUUCUCUAUCAAUUCUCAUUACACGCCACAUCGAUAUCAUUCCUUAUUAUUCUUUCUUUCUAUGUUAAACCAACUCAAAUCAAUUACAUCUUCUAUAUGAAAUUUUAUAAAAUUAUGAAAUGUUUUUAAUCUCAUAUUAUUAACGUAUAGAAUUCGUAUAGCAUUCGGUUUUGUAUAUAGAAGUCGUAUAGAAUUCGGUUUCAUAUUUAAGGCAAUUAGAUUUGUAUAUAUAUUAUGAAUCUGUAAUGCUUUUCUACUUAGGAUUCUAUUCUUUAGGGCUGUACAUCUAUAUAUAUAUGUAGCAACGUUAAUGCAAGAGUAAGAGAGUUUUAUUCAUAAACUCCGUUCUUUAUUUUACAUGGUAUCAGAGCUUUACUCACUUAUCAAAUUAUUAUCUUCGUUCUUUUGCUUUUGUUUAAAUACUCAUGGCAGCUGGUCAAUCAUCAAAACAGGCUGCCAUCCUUAAUAAACAAGAGGAUGAUGUCUUCCUUGUCCACCCAUCAGAUAGUCCAACUGCUGUAUUGGUUUCUCCUUUACUCACUGGUGAUAACUAUGGUACAUGGGUAAGGGCAAUGACUAUGGCUUUACGAGCGAAAAACAAGCUCGGUUUUGUUGAUGGAACUAUAUUAAAACCAGAUGAAGAUGAAGAUGAUGGUGGUAGAUGGCGGUAGAUGGCAACGUUGUAAUGAUCUUGUUGGAUCUUGGGUGUUGAACUCUAUAUCAAGUGAACUUGCGGGAAGUGUGUUGUAUGCACAGUCUGCUAGAGAAGUAUGGCAGGAUUUGCAAGAACGUUUUCAGCAGACCAAUGCGCCAAAAAUCUAUGAACUCAAACAGGCCAUCUCUAAUUUACGACAAGGAGAUGCAUCUGUUUCACUUUAUUAUACUCGCAUGAAGGCGCUUUGGGAUGAGUUGAAUUCUCUACAACAAAUAGGACCAUGUACUUGUGCGAAUGCAAAAACUGUCAGUCAAUUGCAGCAACUAGAUCGAGCUAUCGAAUUUCUUCAAGGCUUACAUGAUAGAUAUGCAACAACGAGGAGUUAGAUUUUGUUGAUGGAUCCUUUUCCUAAUGCAAAUAAAAUUUAUUCCCUGGUGAGGCAAGAAGAAAAACAACAAGAUCUUCACGCUAUAAAGGGAUCUCCAGAAGCUGCAGCAUUGACAACACAAAGCCGAAAUUCAUUUGGAAAUAGGAAUUGGAAUAACAAUUCUGCAGUAGAUAACAAAGGAGGAAACUUGAAUGCAAAUGGUGGCAGACCAUCGUGUGAACACUGUGGAAAAUUAGGCCACACAAAACAAAAAUGUUUUGAGUUAAAUGGAUAUCCACCAAAUUGGAGAAGACGUGGACAAGGUAAUAAAAAUGAGAUUAAAGCUGCCAUGGCGACAAAUAGCAAUCAAGACGUCCAAGCACCAAUAUUUACUCAAGAGCAAUAUCAAAAACUCCUAUCUAUGUUGUCCUCUUCAGGUAGUCUACAUACUGCGAAUCUUGCAGGUAUAGUGCUUAAUUCCUCUUUAUCAUAUACUUGGAUCAUAGAUACAGGCGCUACUAAUCAUAUGUGUAGUUCGCUAGAUUUUUUUCACUCCUAUGAACCAUGUCAUGUUCCUCUUCACGUUCAAUUACCAGAUGGUACAGUAGCACAAGUUACUCACAUAGGGAAAGUCUCAUUUUCACCAGAUUUUUUAUUAGACAAAGUAUUUUACAUUCCAAGUUUUAAGUUUAAUUUACUGUCUGUUAGUCAGUUAACUAAAUCAAAUAGAUAUAAGGUAAUUUUUUCUUCCAAUUUUUGUGAGUUUCAGGACCUAUACACGAAGAAGCAGAUUGGCAAGGGUAGACUUCGUGAAGGUCUUUUCUACAUCCAACUUCCAGCUGCAUUUUCUUUCACCUCCCAAAUCACCUCUACACAUGAGAUUGAUCUUUGGCAUUGGAGACUUGGCCACCCUUCUCUUGGACGUUUAGAGCAUUUUUCAAAAACUUGUCCUAUGGUUAGUUUUAAUAAAGAAUAUGUUUGUGAUAUUUGUCCUAAAGCAAAACAAACUAGAAAGCCAUUUUCCAUUAGUAGCAUCAAAAGUAAAAUACCUUUUGAAUUAAUCCAUUGUGAUGUUUGGGGUCCUUUUUCAACUUCAAGUUUUUCAGGGGGCUCAUUAUUUUUUAACCAUUGUUGAUGAUUAUACUCGAUGCACUUGGUUAUAUUUAAUGAAAACCAAAUCCGAAACCCAAUUGCAUUUAUGUUCUUUUCAUGCAUUGAUAAAAACUCAAUUUAAUGCUAACAUUAAAAUUGUGCGUUCUGACAAUGGGACUGAAUUUCUUGUUAAAGAAUUACAGAAAUUUUUUUUAGACCAAGGGAUUAUUCAUCAAAGAAGUUGCGUUCGAACACCGCAACAGAAUGGUGUGGUUGAGCGUAAACAUCGCCAUCUUCUCGAAGUUGCGCGAGGUCUACGUUUUCAAGCCAAUUUGCCAAUUAAAUUCUGGGGGGAGUGUGUUCUUACUGCAGCAUAUUUGAUCAAUAAAUUGCCUAGUGAUGUUCUUAAUGGAAAAACCGCACAUGAAAUGCUUUUUGGUAUAGCACCAAAUUUAUCACGCCUAAAAGUUUUUGGUUGCUUGUGUUUUGCCAAAAAUUUACAAGUUAAAAAUAAAUUUGAUCAGCGGGCGAAAAUGGGAAUUUUUAUUGGUUAUCCUUUUAGUAAAAAAGGAUAUCGAAUUUAUGAUAUUGAAUCUAAGGUAAUUUAUGUGUCACGUGAUGUUCUCUUUUAUGAACAUAUUUUUCCUUUUAAGGAUGUUAAAUCACCGAUUUUUUCUACACAUGUCACUAAUGAGUUUUUAUUUGAUGAAAAUUUUUUUAAGUCCAAUACUCUUUUAUCACCUUCUCCUAAUGAAAACAUAAGUUCAUCACAUACUCUUCAUGAAUGUGACCCACCUUUGCGAGACACAGAUCCAUCCGUGACCAAUUCUUCUUCUCCUGACACCACUCAUGAACACAUCAUAACUGAAACAUCAUCUACCCAACAGCCUGGUUCACCAGCAGAUGCAACCUUAGAUUCAUCACUUUCUUUAGGCAACCAAAAUAUCCAAACUCCCACACGACCCCAACGUGAUAGACGCCCACCAGCUUACCUUCAAUUAUUGUACCUUGGCUUCUCACAAUUCUACCCAUGCUGAUCUUGUUCUGCGUCCCCAGGUAAGAAAUAUCCUCUUCACAAUUUUAUUUCUUACCAUCGUUUUUCUCCAGCACAUAAGUCUUUUUUGUCUGCCAUUACCUCUACAACCGAACCAAGUUUUUUUCAUGAGGCAGUCAAGUUACCUGAGUGGCGCAAAGCCAUGGAGGAUGAGAUAACAGCUCUUGAGAAAAAUAAUACGUGGACUCUAACUCAUUUGCCGAAUGGUAAAAAGGCUAUUGGCAGCAGAUGGGUUUACAAAAUUAAAUAUCAAUCCGAUGGCACCAUUGAGCGUUACAAAGCUCGUUUAGUUGCUAAGGGAUAUACUCAAACAGAAGGCAUUGAUUAUCAUGCUACUUUUUCACCGGUUGCUAAGCUUGUCACUGUGAGAGCUUUACUUUCUCUUGCGGCUGUUAAGGGUUGGAUUUUAGAACAAUUAGAUGUAAGCAAUGCUUUUUUACAAGGAGAUUUAGAGGAAGAAGUUUAUAUGCAAGUACCACAAGGUUUUUCUAAGCAGGGGGAGCAUCUAGUCUGCAAACUCAACAAAUCUAUCUACGGAUUAAAACAAGCAUCCAGAAAUUGGUUUUCCAAGUUUUCUGCUACCAUUCAACAAGCUGGUUUUCGCCAAUCUAAAGUUGACUAUUCAUUAUUUGUAAAAACUAAUGCCAAAUUUUCAACCUUUGUGUUAGUUUACGUUGAUGAUAUUAUCGUAGCAGGGAAUGAUGUUGCCGAGGUUAGCAGAAUUAAAGAUUUUCUUGCACAGAAAUUUUACAUCAAGGCAUUAGGGAAGUUGAAGUAUUUUUUGGGGAUAAAAGUGGCACGGUCAUCAUGUGGGAUCUUCUUGAGUCAGCGAAAAUAUGCCCUGGAUAUUUUAAAGGAUGCUGGUUUACUUGCUGGACGAGUUUCUCAUUUUCCAAUGGAACAACAACUUCGGCUUUCAUCUACGGAUGGCGACCUUUUAUCAAAUCCCUCAAGUUAUCGACGUCUUGUAGGUCGGUUGAUCUAUCUCACAGUUACCAGGCCUGAUAUUGUCUUUGCAGUACAUGUUUUAAGUCGAUUUAUGCAUGAACCACGAACUACUCAUAUGGAUGCUGCCAUUCGAGUGCUUCGGUAUUUAAAAGGCUCACCAAGCAAGGGUAUCUUAUUAUCUUCAACAAGUGACUUACAUAUCCGAGGUUACUGUGAUGUGGAUUGGGGUAGUUGUCCUACUACACGUCGGUCUGUUACUGGUUAUUGUACUUUCCUUGGUGACAGCCCUAUAUCUUGGAAAACAAAGAAGCAAAAUGUGGUCUCUCGAUCUACAGCAGAAGCUGAGUAUCGCUCCUUGGCUGAUCUUUCAUGUGAAUUACAGUGGCUCAAAGCACUCUUUGCUGAUUUGGGGCACCUUCAACAUGAUCCUAUGACUGUUUAUUGUGAUAAUCAAUCAGCUUUAUAUAUCGCCGAGAAUCCUGUCUAUCAUGAGCGAACAAAGCACAUUGAGUUAGAUUGUCAUUUCGUGCGAGAGCGUGUGCAAUCCAAUUUGUUAUUACCACUGCAUAUUCCUACUUCCAUGCAAAUAGCUGAUGUGUUUACAAAACAUCUCCUUUGACUGGAAUAGGAAUUUGAAGGCUCAACCAAAUUGAUUUGAUUUAAAUUUUUGACUCAUGAAAGGUGGCAUGAUACAGAUUCAUGCACGUAGCUUUUGUAUGUCCAACUAAAAUCAUAACCAUGUGAUUAGAAUAAUAAUGCUAUCUUAUCAUAUAUAACUUAUGAAGUAGUCAUGCCAAAAAGCGGCUGUAAUACAUAAGCAUUUUUUAGUUGCAUAUGCAUGAUUGUGUAUCUGUCGGUUGCUAAGCUUGUCACUGUGAGAGCUUUACUUUCUCUUACGGCUGUUAAGGGUUGGGUUUUAGAACAAUUAGAUGUAAGCAAUGCUUUUUUACAAGGAGAUUUAGAGGAAGAAGUUUAUAUGCAAGUACCACAAGGUUUUUCUAAGCAGGGGGAGCAUCUAGUCUGCAAACUCAACAAAUCUAUCUACGGAUUAAAACAAGCAUCCAGAAAUUGGUUUUCCAAGUUUUCUGCUACCAUUCAACAAGCUGGUUUUCGCCAAUCUAAAGCUGACUAUUCAUUAUUUGUAAAAACUAAUGCCAAAUUUUCAACCUUUGUGUUAGUUUACGUUGAUGAUAUUAUCGUAGCAGGGAAUGAUGCAGCUGAGGUUAGCAGAAUUAAAGAUUUUCUUGCACAGAAAUUUUACAUCAAGGCAUUAGGGAAGUUGAAGUAUUUUUUGGGGAUAGAAGUGGCACGGUCAUCACGUGGGAUCUUCUUGAGUCAGCGAAAAUAUGCCCUGGAUAUUUUAAAGGAUGCUGGUUUACUUGCUGGACGAGUUUCUCAUUUUCCAAUGGAGCAACAACUUCGGCUUUCAUCUACGGAUGGCGACCUUUUAUCAAAUCCCUCAAGUUAUCGACGUCUUGUAGGUCGGUUGAUCUAUCUCACAGUUACCAGGCCUGAUAUUGUCUUUGCAGUACAUGUUUUAAGUCGAUUUAUGCAUGAACCACGAACUACUCAUAUGGAUGCUGCCAUUCGAGUGCUUCGGUAUUUAAAAGGCUCACCAUGGAACUAUCUGCUGUACGGCGAAGGCGGAUGUACGGUACAGCAGAUUUAAAUCAAACUUCUUCUUUAUAUCAGCAUAAAUGAAAGUAUUAGAUUAAGGUUGUGAAAGUAUAUCAAGUAUGCAAAUGUUGACACUAGGUAGUGGGAGGAGAGUUAGUGAAAUGGAAAGGGAUAAACUUUAGCCUAGAAAAAAGGUGGAUAUGCUUAAGUAAUCGGACUCAUUCUUUACCUUUGGAAAAAUCAUCUCCUUUGACUGGAAUAAGAAUUUGAAGGCUCAACAAAAUUGAUUUGAUUUAAAUUUUUGACUUAUGAAAGGUGGCAUGAUACAGAUUCAUGCACGUAGCUUUUGUAUGUCCAACUAAAAUCAUAACCAUGUGAUUAGAAUAAUAAUGCUAUCUUAUCAUAUAUAACUUAUGAAGUAGUCAUGCCAAAAAGCGGCUGUAAUAUAUAAGCAUUUUUUAGUUGCAUAUGCAUGAUUGUGUAUCUGUAAUUUGUUACUAUGACCUGCAGGAUUGAUGUAUUUCAAUUAUUUUGUGGAUUCCCAUAGAUUUGCUCCAUGGAGUAUGAAAAGUCUAUUGAAGAUUUUGUUUUUGUUAUUUAAUAUUUGUUGUUCUUUAAUUUGGGAUGCAGGAAGUGAGGCAGAGGAGGAAGGUGAUGCAACAGAAUAAUGCUUCAAAGUCUUGUAGAAAGCUUUCCCCUUUGAUUGACUUAGUAUUCAUUUUAUAGCUACCCAGUUGGUUACAAAGAUGAUCUUUUAAUGCCAAAGCCAACAAUUGUGUAAUGUUGUAGGUUGUAGCUUUAUCAAGCCUGUUAUUAGCAUAUUAGUAUGUGAAUCAUUUUUGUAUUCUUGGACAUGCAUCUCUUUGUUAAAAAUGUAUGCAGAUAUAUGUAUUCCUCUACCUUGUCAUAUGACUCAUAUCUAUCAGCGGCUCUUGAUUGUUUAUUUUCCAAGUAAUUAGCACUUUUGUUGUUGCUUGUAUAACUUUUUGCCGGCCAUUAUUUUUUUCAAUUUUUGUGUCAUGCUGCUUUCAUCAUGUAAAACUCGACUUGAUCAUGAUCGCAAAUUUUGAUAUUUAUUUUUAUGGUUCAUCAUCAAUAAGGUAUACAUUUGAAAAACGCAGUUAAAAAAAAAAUGUUACGAUAUCAAAAAUUCAGAAUUUGUUAUUUUUACAGAAGCUCUAUGAAGAAUUAUUAUAAUUAUUUACAUUUAUACUAAAAAAAUUGAUGUAAAUAUUCUAAAAUUUAAGGUUCUAUAUUUUAUAUUUUGCUAAGUACUAAUAAAUAUUAUUUCCAAACAUAUAAUUGAAAUUAACCACCAAAAAAUAAUGUAGUAUAGCAUAAUAUAGUGUAUGUAUAAUUAAAAAUUAAUAUAGUACAAUGGAGAACCAAACGUUGUAUAGUAUUAAUAUAAUACAGUGUUAAUGCAAUACAACAUAAUACAAUACACAUGUAUUAAAAUAAUGCAAUACAAUAUAAUACAAUAGUUAACCUUUUUGCGCAAAACAAUUUCAAGAACAAAUGCGAUGAACAUCCAAUACUUUGUGUAUUGGUCUAUAGUCUAAAUCCGUUGUCACGAAAGAAACAUUGUUGUGAUGUGUGUGCAUUAUUCUCUCAUUUUGAUUAUGUGUUAACUAAGAUUUUUUUUUUUCAAUAAUUUUCAGUUUUCUGUCAAAUGUAACAUAAUAUGAUCAUGUGUAACAUAAGAACACAAAGCAUGAAGGAAGCUCCAAUUUUUUUCAAACUUGGCCAAAGUUGUUGAAUAUCUAAAUCCUCAAGUGUUCUGUGUUUUUUUUAUUAAAUUAGCAUGAUUGGACACAAUAAAAUAAUGAAAAUCAAAUUAUUAUGAUGGUUGGAUUAGUUAGCUAGAUUAGUGUUAUUUUGUCUAAUCUGCUGUACCGUACAUCCGCCUUGGCCGUACAGCAGUAUAAAAGAAGUGAGAAAGUUUGUGCAUCACACAAUUAAAUUAGGCUAAAGUUUGUCUCAAUAAUAGUCUGAUUUGUAAAUAUCAGUUAUAGUCUCAUGUAAUAUGAGUUGUAGUUUAAGCAAUAGUCUCAUGUAAUAAAAAAAAAAGACUAAAAUUUAAAAAUAUUUAUAACAACCUACUUACACCCUACUGAUUUUGAGUUGGAACUAUUUUAAUUUGUUUUAACAUUUUUUUUAACUUCAACAAUUAAUAAAAGGUUAAUACAAGAGAAAGUGAUUCAUUUUGGUUGACUCCUCCUACAUUUGCUAAGCCAUUAACCAUAAUGAUGAAGAAUAUUAACAAAGUGAGUUUGAUUGAUACAAAAAUAUACUGUUUCUUUGAGUUAACAAAUAUGCAACAUGAUUCAGAAGUGGUCAAUGUGUUUCUCACCAUACAAUUAAAAAAGGAAUAGUGGAACUAAUUAAUUAAUUUUCAGCAACAAAAAAAAUUAAGAUUAACAUAUGAUAUGUCUGCAUUCAAGUUUAUAUAAUCUUAUUUUCAGUUACUUGGAACAUGAUGAAUUCUUGUUCUCUCUUAUUAAAUUGUACUCGCAUUUUUCUUUUAAAAGUAAAAAGUAUUCUCAAAAUUAAUUUUCCAUAUAUGGUGGAUGUUGUUACUUUUAGUUUGUGAUGGCCACGUAUAAAGAAACCAAACGAUAUUUGCUAAUUUGUGAGAUGGGAUACAAGCAUUUGAUGACAUUCGGAAAGCUUUUACAGCGUCAAUAUUCAGAAAAAAGUGAAAUCAAAUCAUAGAAAUUAAAAAUUUUUAAAAAUUAUCUUUUUUCUUUUUCUUUUUUCAUACAUUGAUUGAAUUUCAUUCUCAAAUGAAAAUUAUGACAAGUUAAAUAAAUUAAUCACUACAAUUAGUAAAUAUUAGAACCUCAAGUUAACUUAGUGAAUUAAUAACUUAAUAACACUACAUUUUCAUUGAAAUUAAUAAGUCUUACAAAUUCAUCUAACAUAAUCCGAUGCUAGUGACUCCUUUACAAAUGAUUACAUGUUUGCUUCGCUAGUUAAUUAAUAAAGUGAAAACAAAAGCAAAUAGAACCCCACACCAAUAAUUUUGCAAACAGCCAAACCCCAACGUCUCCUUUCAAAAAAGAGGGAAAAAAGAAAAAAAAUCAGAGAAUUACCACUUUUCUCUUUGUAUCAUUGUUAUUCGUGUUCAUACAGUGUUUCAAAAUAAAAGGAAAUCAUUCUGUACUGCUUUUGUAAAUAAGUGAAUUUGAAAAUAUUUGAAAAUUAGUCCCAUUUUCUGUUGAAAGAAAAAAUGCAUAGUAUCCAUUUUGUUAUUUUGUAAUUCUUUCAUUGAUCCUUGGUGUUAAUUCACCAAUGUUAAGUUCUUGAAACAUGAGCAUGCGAAGCUUGCUAAUUUAAUUAUUGAAACAUGAGCAUGCGAAGCUUGCUAAUUUAAUUAUUGUUGGCGGAUACUGUCUUUUAUUUUAAUUAGUGUAAUAUUUACGUUAUGUUAAUUAUGUUAUUAGUUUAUUAAAUAUAUACCUUUUAACAAACGAGUCGAUUUUGCAUUAUUUAAAAUUUCGACGCGAUGGGAAUAUGAAUAUAACAUUACAUUACAAAUUGGCAUUGUUUAUUGUAAAAAAAUGUCGUGCACAGCGCACUUAUAGUAAUAAGAAGAGAGAUUAAAAUCUUUUAAUUUAACUUACUUUUAUAAGUAGAAGAAUUGAUAAACUCUCUUCAAACUUUUGAAAUGAACCUGAAGAGACGGUCAGAGAAGAAUGAUUAAUUAACGCAGAAGAAUUAUAUUCAUGACAUUUAAGAUUAAAAAAAGGGUUCAUUGCUUUUGCGUUUUCUAUGAAGUAGUGCCUAAUUAAUCAUGUUAAGCUAAGGCAAAGAUUCUUGGUUCGGCUUUUAUUUAAUUUAGUAUGUAAAGCAAAUGCAUCAUCAUGAGCUCCAUUGAUUUUAUAUUUAUAGUGGGCUCUGAUUUUUCUUUUGCUUAAUGGGAAAUGGACAGUGAUACCCUAAAAAAAAAAUAAUGUUUUAAUAUUUUAAAAAAGAUAUAUAAUUCCUAUUUUUGUUAAUAAAUUCCAUUUGUUUUAAUAAUAAAUUUAUUUUUAAUUUAUAAUUAUUAUUAUAUUCCUAUAAUAAAUAAAUAAAUAUAUUGAUUUAAGACAUGUCAUCGAUGACAUGUAUAAUAAAACUAACAACUUUUUAUUUACAACUUAAAAUUAAGAUAUAAUUAUCUUUUGUCCAAAUUAUUCACUUUAAAUUAUGAAUAUAUCCUUACCAAUGAUAAAAAAUGAUGAAUAAUAGAUAAAAAUAAAAUCAAAUUUAUUUUCUUCGAAUGCCAAUUAGGAAAAAUGAGAUGUUAAACAUGGUUGUAAAUGAAUGAAAGCCAAUUGGACAAAUGGGAAGUAAAAUUGGAAGGCUCACUCUCUUAAGUUAAAUAUAUUAAUUUAUUUAUUAUAGGGACAUGAUAGUAAAUGUAAAUUAAAGAUUAAGUUACUACUAAAAUAAACAGAUUUUACUAAUAAAAAAGAGAUUAUAUAUCCUUCCCAAUGUUAACAUAUAUUUUUUUAAGAGAUUUUAAGCAAUGAUAAUAAUAAUAAUAAUAAUAAUAAUAAUAAUAAUAAUAAUAAUAAUAAUAAUAAUAAUAAUAAUAAUAAUAAUAAUAAUAAUAAUAAUAAUAAUAAUAAUAAUAAUAAUAAUAAUAAUAAUAAUAAUAAUAAUAAUAAUAAUAAUAAUAAUAAUAAUAAUAAUAAUAAUAAUAAUAAUAAUAAUAAUAAUAAUAAUAAUAAUAAUAAUAAUAAUAAUAAUAAUAAUAAUAAUAAUAAUAAUAAUAAUAAUAAUAAUAAUAAUAAUAAUAAUAAUAAUAAUAAUAAUAAUAAUAAUAAUAAUAAUAAUAAUAAUAAUAAUAAUAAUAAUAAUAAUAAUAAUAAUAAUAAUAAUAAUAAUAAUAAUAAUAAUAAUAAUAAUAAUAAUAAUAAUAAUAAUAAUAAUAAUAAUAAUAAUAAUAAUAAUAAUAAUAAUAAUAAUAAUAAUAAUAAUAAUAAUAAUAAUAAUAAUAAUAAUAAUAAUAAUAAUAAUAAUAAUAAUAAUAAUAAUAAUAAUAAUAAUAAUAAUAAUAAUAAUAAUAAUAAUAAUAAUAAUAAUAAUAAUAAUAAUAAUAAUAAUAAUAAUAAUAAUAAUAAUAAUAAUAAUAAUAAUAAUAAUAAUAAUAAUAAUAAUAAUAAUAAUAAUAAUAAUAAUAAUAAUAAUAAUAAUAAUAAUAAUAAUAAUAAUAAUAAUAAUAAUAAUAAUAAUAAUAAUAAUAAUAAUAAUAAUAAUAAUAAUAAUAAUAAUAAUAAUAAUAAUAAUAAUAAUAAUAAUAAUAAUAAUAAUAAUAAUAAUAAUAAUAAUAAUAAUAAUAAUAAUAAUAAUAAUAAUAAUAAUAAUAAUAAUAAUAAUAAUAAUAAUAAUAAUAAUAAUAAUAAUAAUAAUAAUAAUAAUAAUAAUAAUAAUAAUAAUAAUAAUAAUAAUAAUAAUAAUAAUAAUAAUAAUAAUAAUAAUAAUAAUAAUAAUAAUAAUAAUAAUAAUAAUAAUAAUAAUAAUAAUAAUAAUAAUAAUAAUAAUAAUAAUAAUAAUAAUAAUAAUAAUAAUAAUAAUAAUAAUAAUAAUAAUAAUAAUAAUAAUAAUAAUAAUAAUAAUAAUAAUAAUAAUAAUAAUAAUAAUAAUAAUAAUAAUAAUAAUAAUAAUAAUAAUAAUAAUAAUAAUAAUAAUAAUAAUAAUAAUAAUAAUAAUAAUAAUAAUAAUAAUAAUAAUAAUAAUAAUAAUAAUAAUAAUAAUAAUAAUAAUAAUAAUAAUAAUAAUAAUAAUAAUAAUAAUAAUAAUAAUAAUAAUAAUAAUAAUAAUAAUAAUAAUAAUAAUAAUAAUAAUAAUAAUAAUAAUAAUAAUAAUAAUAAUAAUAAUAAUAAUAAUAAUAAUAAUAAUAAUAAUAAUAAUAAUAAUAAUAAUAAUAAUAAUAAUAAUAAUAAUAAUAAUAAUAAUAAUAAUAAUAAUAAUAAUAAUAAUAAUAAUAAUAAUAAUAAUAAUAAUAAUAAUAAUAAUAAUAAUAAUAAUAAUAAUAAUAAUAAUAAUAAUAAUAAUAAUAAUAAUAAUAAUAAUAAUAAUAAUAAUAAUAAUAAUAAUAAUAAUAAUAAUAAUAAUAAUAAUAAUAAUAAUAAUAAUAAUAAUAAUAAUAAUAAUAAUAAUAAUAAUAAUAAUAAUAAUAAUAAUAAUAAUAAUAAUAAUAAUAAUAAUAAUAAUAAUAAUAAUAAUAAUAAUAAUAAUAAUAAUAAUAAUAAUAAUAAUAAUAAUAAUAAUAAUAAUAAUAAUAAUAAUAAUAAUAAUAAUAAUAAUAAUAAUAAUAAUAAUAAUAAUAAUAAUAAUAAUAAUAAUAAUAAUAAUAAUAAUAAUAAUAAUAAUAAUAAUAAUAAUAAUAAUAAUAAUAAUAAUAAUAAUAAUAAUAAUAAUAAUAAUAAUAAUAAUAAUAAUAAUAAUAAUAAUAAUAAUAAUAAUAAUAAUAAUAAUAAUAAUAAUAAUAAUAAUAAUAAUAAUAAUAAUAAUAAUAAUAAUAAUAAUAAUAAUAAUAAUAAUAAUAAUAAUAAUAAUAAUAAUAAUAAUAAUAAUAAUAAUAAUAAUAAUAAUAAUAAUAAUAAUAAUAAUAAUAAUAAUAAUAAUAAUAAUAAUAAUAAUAAUAAUAAUAAUAAUAAUAAUAAUAAUAAUAAUAAUAAUAAUAAUAAUAAUAAUAAUAAUAAUAAUAAUAAUAAUAAUAAUAAUAAUAAUAAUAAUAAUAAUAAUAAUAAUAAUAAUAAUAAUAAUAAUAAUAAUAAUAAUAAUAAUAAUAAUAAUAAUAAUAAUAAUAAUAAUAAUAAUAAUAAUAAUAAUAAUAAUAAUAAUAAUAAUAAUAAUAAUAAUAACUACAUGCAUUUUGCUCAAUUUUCUCAUUUUGCUCAAUUUUCUCAUUUUGCUUUAGAACUCAAAAUUCUGUUUCUUUCUGUACGGGAAAAAAAGAAAAAAAAAUGCCAAGCAUUUGUGGCUAAAGUGUGAGAUGAGAUACAAGCAUUUGAUGACAUUUAACAAGUUUUUUACUGCCUAUUUAGCAACGUCAAAAAGUAAAAGAGAGUGAAAUUAAAUCCUAAGAAUUAAAAUUAAUUUUUCUCCAAUAAAUUGAUUGGACCUCAUUCUUUAAUUACAAAUAAUGACAAGUUAAGUAAAUUUACUAGCACCACAAUUAGUGAACAUUAAUACCUCAAGUUAACUUAGGGUGCGUUUGGUACAUGUAUUGUAUUAUGUUGUAUUAUAUUAUUUUAAUACUGAUGUAUUAUAUUAUGCUGUAUUGCAUUAGCACUGUAUUAUAAUAAUACUGUACAAUGUUUGGUACUACAUUGUACUGUAUUAAUUUUUUGUGAUUAAUUUAAAUUAACAGAUUAUAUUAAUAUAUUUAAAUUAUAUUAAUAUUUUAUAUUAUUAUUUAUAUUAUUAUUAAUUUUAAAUUAAUAUUAUUCAAAUUUAUUCAUAUUUAAAUAUUUUUAUUAGUUAUAAUAAGUUAUAAAUUUAUUAAUAAAUUAUAAUGUAAAAAUAAAAAAAUAUACUAUUAUUGAAUGAUAAAUUAUUUAUUUAUUAAUUUAUAUUAAUAAUUAUAAUGCUGCUGUACCGUACAUNNNNNNNNNNNNNNNNNNNNNNNNNNNNNNNNNNNNNNNNNNNNNNNNNNNNNNNNNNNNNNUUUAUUAUUAUUUUAUUAAUAAGCAAAAGCAAAAGUUAAAGCAAACGAAAAUUAAAGCAAAAGCACGUGAAAAGUGAAAACGUUAAAAGGACAAAAAAAAAGAAAGUAAGCGGAGUUGCCGCAUUAGCUUAAACCCGACUCACAGUCGGGUUUAGCUAAUGCGGCAGUUUGCUGCAUUAGCUUGACUCAAUAAUGUAGUGUUGCUGUAGCUUUUUAUCUACCAAACAUGGGUUUGUAUAAAUUUAAUGCAAUGAGGAGCUUUAAUACAUCAACCAAACACACCCUUAAUGAAUUAAAUAAUAACUUAAUAACGAAUUAACGAUACAGUUUCAUCGAAAUUUACAAAUUCUUCUUACAAGAAAUUGUAAAUUCUAAGCGCAAUACCUACCAAUAAUCUGAUGCCCGCGAUCUUUACAAAUCAUUACAUAUUUACUUCACUAAUUAAUUAAUAAAGUUAAAACAAAAACAAAUAAACCCACGCUAUUAACUUUGCAAACAAUCCAACCCCACCAUCUCUUUUGAAAAAGAAAAAAUAAAAAAUACAAUCAGAGGAAGAAGACGCGUGUUUGAUUUUUACAAAUCGCUAAUAACUUUACAAAUCAUUACAUGUUUGAUUUUUUUUUUUAUAAUUUAUGUGCUCCUCUGAUUUUAUAUUUGUGGUGGGCUCCGUUUUACUUUUCACUUUUACAGUGGGUUUUUCUUGAUUUCUAGGCUUGCUAGACACAAUCACAAACUCAUUCCGCUUAUUCACUUUUCUCAUUUUGCUUUCCACAAACUCACAAUUCAGUUUCUUUCUCUGUCCAAAAAAACCCAAAAAAAGAAAAAAAGAAAAAAUGUCGAUCAUCGGAGAGGCAAUCCUUACGGCGUGCGUUGAGAUGCUGAUCAAUAAAUUAGCUUCAGAGGGGAUUCGGUUGUUUGCACGCCAAGGUCGAAUCCAAGCAGAUCUAGUGAAGUGGAAGAAUAAGUUGGUGAUGAUCAAGGCGGUGCUUGAUGAUGCUGAGGAGAAGAAGACGACUAAUGAUGCUGUGAAGUUGUGGCUUGGCGAGCUUCAGAACUUGGUUUAUGACGUUGAAGACUUGUUGGAUGAGUUCCAAACUGAGGCUUUCCGGAGGAAGUUGCUGCUUGGAAAUGGAGAACCAGCUGCUGCUCAUGAUCAACCCAGCAGCAGUCGUACAAGCACGAAGAGUAAGUUUCGGAAGCUCAUUCCUACUUGCUGCACCACUUUAACUCCACGGUCGAUUCAGUUCGAUUACGCCAUGAUGUCCAAAAUCAAAAAGAUCAACGACAGAUUUCAAGAUAUUGAAGGAGGAAUACGCUCGCUGAAUUUGAUAAAAAGUUCAGCUGGGGGGUCCAAAAAAGCCAGGCAAAGGCGAGAUACAACUUCUUUGGUGGAGGAAGCCAAAGUAUAUGGCAGGGAAACAGAAAAGAAGGAAAUUGUUGAAUUGUUGUUGAAGGAUGAUUCAAGAAGAUGAUCAAGGCGGUGCUUGAUGAUGCUGAGGAGAAGAAGACGACUGAUGAUUCUGUGAAGUUGUGGCUUGGCGAGCUUCAGAACUUGGCUUAUGAUGUUGAAGACUUGUUGGAUGAGUUCCAAACUGAGGCUUUCCGGAGGAAGUUGCUGCUUGGAAAUGGAGAACCAGCUGCUGCUCAUGAUCAACCCAGCAGCAGUCGUACAAGCACGAAAAGUAAGUUUCGGAAGCUCAUUCCUACUUGCUCCACCACUUUUACUCUGCAAUCGAUUCAGUUCGAUUUCACCUUGAUGUCCAAAAUCAAAGGGAUCCACGACAGAUUUCAAGAUAUUGAAGAAGGAAUAGGCUCGCUGAAAUUGAUAAAAAGUUCAGCCGGGAGGUCCAAAAAAGACAGGCAAAGACCACCCACAACCUCUUUGGUGAAUGAAGCCAAGGUAUAUGGGAGGGAAACAGAAAAGAAGGAAAUUGUUGAAUUGUUGUUGAAGGAUGAUUCAAGAAAUGAUGGUGGAUUCUCUGUUAUUCCUGUUAUAGGUAUGGGCGGGCUAGGCAAAACCACUCUUGCUCAGCUUGUCUACAAUGAUAAGCAGGUGGAGGAUCAUUUUGAUCUCAAGGCGUGGACUUGCGUCUCUGAUGAUUUUGAUGUUAUCAGGCUUACAAAAUCAAUCCUAAUUUCCAUUGCUCCUGGCCAGAAUGUGGAUAAUCACGACUUAAAUAAGCUUCAAGUGGACCUAAAUAAGACACUAUCUGGAAAGAAGUUUUUGCUUGUUUUAGACGACGUAUGGAAUGAUUGUUACGAUGAUUGGAUUCAGCUCAGCCUUCCAUUUGAAGCUGGUGCACAGGGAAGUAAGAUUAUUGUUACUACUCGCAAUCAGGAUGUUGCAGCAAUCAUGGGGACUGUUCCACCUCAUCCAUUAAAAAAAUUGUCAGAUAAUGACUGUCUAGCUAUAUUCGCUCAACAUUCUCUGGGGCCGCAUGAGUUAUUGGAGGAAAUUGGCAAGAAGAUAGUGACCAAAUGCGAUGGCUUGCCCUUGGCUGCACAAACACUUGGAGGACUAUUACGUGGAAGACAUGACAGACGGGUAUGGGAAGGUGUGCUCGGUAGCAAGAUAUGGGAAUUACCAGAACAGAGGUGUCGCAUUAUACCAGCCCUUGCAGUGAGCUAUUAUUAUCUUCCUCCAACUUUGAAACAAUGCUUUGCAUACUGCUCAUUGUUUCCAAAGGAUUAUGAAUUUGAAGAGGAGGAGAUAAUUUUAUUAUGGUGUGCUGUGGGUCUCUUGGAUCACGGAGAGAGCGGGAAUCCUAGUGAAGAUCUAGGUCGAAAGUUCUUUCGAGAGCUACGUGCAAGAUCUUUUUUCCAGCAAUCAAGCAACAGUAUAUCACGAUUUGUGAUGCACGAUCUUAUCAAUGACCUUGCCCGUUGGGCUGCAGGGGAGACAUACUUCACACUGGAGUAUACCUCGGAGGUUAACAAGCAACAAUGUUUUUCCAGAAAUCUUCGUCAUCUAUCAUACAUUUGUGGAGAUUAUGAUGGCGUUCAAAGGUUUGGGGACUUGUACGAUAUCCAACAUUUGAGAACUUUUUUACCAGUAAUGUUGACAAAUAGUGAGCCUGGCUACUUGGCUCCUAGCAUUCUUCCUAAGUUGCUCAAACCCCAACGCUUGAGGGCCUUCUCACUGCGUGGAUACCACAUCUUCGAGCUGCCGGAUUCAAUUGGUGAUUUGAGGUAUUUAAGGUACCUUAACCUGUCUGGAACUGAGAUUAGAACUCUGCCUGAAUCAGUCAACAAGCUUUACAAUUUGCAUAGUCUUUUGUUGGAAGAUUGUGAUCGGCUGAAGAAGUUGUGUGCAGACAUGGGAAACCUUGCCAAAUUGCAUCAUCUUAAGAAUUCAAAUACGAAGUCGUUGGAGGAAAUGCCAGUAGGAAUUGGCAGGUUGACUAGUCUUCAGACGUUGUGUAAUUUUGUUGUGGGAAAAGGCAGUGGUUCCGGGUUACGAGAGCUAAAGUUGUUGACGCACCUUCAUGGGACACUUAACAUUUCAAAAUUGGAGAAUGUAAAAGACGUUGGUGAUGCAAAGGAGGCUCAAUUGGAUGGAAAGAAGAAUCUUGAGGUGUUAAUGCUUCAAUGGACUCGCAGUGCCGAUGGUUCAUCUUCAAGGGAGGCUGAAACUGAAAAGGGCGUGCUUGACAUGCUAAAACCCCAUAAAAAUCUAAAACAAUUUUGUAUCAGUGGCUAUGGGGGCACAAAAUUUCCAACUUGGUUAGGAGAUUCCUCAUUCUCAAAUUUAGUGAUCCUAAAAUUUGAAGAUUGUGGUAUGUGUACUACAUGGCCAUCAGUCGGGCAACUGCCCUCUCUAAAGCAUCUUGCAGUGAGUGGAAUGAGUAAAGUAAAGAGAUUGGGCUCAGAGUUCUAUGGGAAUGAUUCUUCAACUCCUUUUCCAUGCUUGGAGACUCUUCGUUUUGAAGACAUGGAAGAAUGGGAAGAUUGGAUUCCUCAUGGAUCCAGUCAGGGAGUUGAAGGGUUUCCCAAAUUGAGAGAGCUUCAUGUUAUAAGAUGUUCUAAACUGCAAGGAACGUUUCCAGAACACCUUCCUGCAUUGGAGAUGCUUGCUAUUGAAAAAUGUGAAGAAUUGUUAGCUUCGAUUACGUGUCUUCCAGCUCUUUGCAAAUUAAAGAUUUAUGGAUGUAAAAAGGUUGUGUGGAGAAGUUCAACUGAUCAUCUCGGGUCACAGAAUUCAGUGGUUUGUGGAGAUACAUCAAAUCAAGUAUUUCUCACAGGGCCAUUGAAGCCGCGACUACCAAAAUUGGAAGAAUUGGAGAUAAAUGAUAUGAAAGAGCAGACAUAUAUAUGGAAGAGUCAUAACGAAUUACUGCAAGACAUUUGCUCUCUCAAAAGACUGACGAUUGACAGCUGUCCCAAACUUCAAUCCUUGGUGGCAGAGGAAGAGAAAGACCAACAACAGCAGCUCUGCGAGUUGUCAUGCAGACUCGAAUAUCUAAGAUUGAGAUAUUGCAAAGGCCUUGUGAAGCUGCCACAAUCAUCGCUCAGCCUCAGUUCCUUGAGAGAGAUAGAAAUCUACAAGUGCAGUUCCCUUGUUUCCUUUCCUGAGGUUGCUCUGCCUUCCAAGUUGAAGAAAAUUCAGUUUAGAGAAUGUGAUGCACUGAAAUUGUUACCAGAGGCAUGGAUGUCCGACACUAAUUCAUCUCUCGAGAUCUUGAGUAUUUGGGUUUGCCAUUCGUUGACAUAUCUUGCUGGAGUCCAGCUACCACGGAGCCUUAAGAGGUUGGUCAUCCUUAAUUGUGAUAAUAUAAGGACUUUGACAAUGGAAGAGGGCAUCCAGAGUAGCAGCAGCAGAAGGUACACCUCAUCUCUUCUUGAGCACUUACACAUUGAGAGUUGUCCGUCUCUGACACGUAUAUUUUCAAAAAACGAGUUACCGGCCACGCUUGAGUCCCUUGAAGUUGGCAAUCUACCUCCGUCUCUUAAGUCCCUUUCUGUUUAUGGAUGUUCGAAGCUGGAGUCAAUAGCAGAAAGGUUGGACAACAACACAUCUCUUGAAUACAUCAACAUUUCUAACUGUGAAAAUCUGAAAAUUUUACCGAGUGGUUUACAUAAUCUC
rnacentral:lncRNA from 1 species